rnacentral:lncRNA from 1 species
GGAGGAAGCUGGCGCCUGAUGACUCAGGAAUACACAACUGCCCCUCAUCGGGGACAAGUAGAAAUGAAGUAUUGUUGAUAGUCCUUAAUACCCCUUUCGACACAAAUUCAAAACCAGCUAAUUCAUGAGUUGAUGCACCUUGUAUUGAAUGGAGAAUAGUAGCUUCAGUCCAUUUCAAUGCAAGGGAACUCCCUCUUACUAAAAGCCUCUAACUCUUUAGUGGCCGAUCACCAACAAAGAUGUGGCUAUGAGUCUUCGCUUUCUGUUUUCUUUCCAGAAAUUGGUUUGGCAAAAUAAAAGGUAUUUACUAUGCAGGAUUGAUUGCACUCAGUAAAAAUUCACCCUACUUCCAGUUCCUAGAACUCACUGGUGUCAGAGUUUGAUAAAGAAACCCAUAAAGCCACUGAGUCUGUGACUUAAUUGCCAGGCUUCAUUGUAGUAAUGUUAGUAGAAGAUAAAUAAAUUGAAGAACAAGACUUUCUAGGCUGCCUGCACACUAGACCAUCCCUACUGAAAUUCAGUAGCUGGCAAUCUUCAGCUUAUUGAUGAUCAAUUGCAGAUGCUUAUCCUCAGCAUAUAAAGUUUGAGUCUCUAGAAAUAAAGCUAAAUGAAGAUACGGAGAAAUAGAAAAGCAACUUCUGACAGGAAUGUGUCAAAAGUUGAAGUUUUUUAAUGGAAGUGGUAAGAGAGUAUGCAAAUGAAUUAGCUAUGUUCUGAAGUGAUUUGGAGAAGAUUUGUCAAGCAGAAUCUGAAAGCCUCAUUCUUUAUAGAAAGAGUAUCUUUGAGAGAAACCAAAAGCACCAAGAGAUUGAAACAAGAAAAUUGAUGCUCAAGGCUUCUUUUACUAAAAGAUAUGGAUUUGUUAAGAGAAAGAAAAGCAGAGCUGAAGCAGAGAGUUGAAGAUUUUGAACUAACCCAGAAACUCCAGCAAGAAAAACCUAAAAGCAUGACUGAGGACUUAGGAGAUGGGAGCAGAAUACAAAGUGUCUUGAUGAGACCUAUGACCGAAAGCUAAAAAACAAACUUCUAAAGUAUCAACUUGAAUUAAUGGAUGACUACAUCAUUAGAACUAACUGACUGAUUGAAGAGCAAAGGAAGAAUAAAGGAAAAGCUGUUUACUUGCAAGAGGAGCUCAUAGUUAUUAAUCCAAAAAAGGAGGAACUCAAUCAAUCUGUAA